rnacentral:rRNA from 1 species
GUGAGGAAUAUUGGUCAAUGGGCGGGAGCCUGAACCAGCCAAGUCGCGUGAAGGAAGAAGGAUCUAUGGUUCGUAAACUUCUUUUGCAGGGGAAUAAAGUGCAGGACGUGUCCUGUUUUGUAUGUACCCUGAGAAUAAGGAUCGGCUAACUCCGUGCCAGCAGCCGCGGUAAUACGGAGGAUCCGAGCGUUAUCCGGAUUUAUUGGGUUUAAAGGGUGCGUAGGUGGUUUGAUAAGUCAGCGGUGAAAGUUUGCAGCUUAACUGUAAAAAUGCCGUUGAGACUGUCGGACUUGAGUGUAAAUGAGGUAGGCGGAAUGCGUGGUGUAGCGGUGAAAUGCAUAGAUAUCACGCAGAACUCCGAUUGCGAAGGCAGCUUACUAGGCUACAACUGACACUGAAGCACGAAAGCGUGGGGAUCAAACAGGAUUAGAAACCCCUGUAGUCC